UUUGGGUAGUAUAGUCAUUUUCAUAAUAUUGAUUCUUCCGAAUGGGAGAAAAUAAUUGCAAAUGAAACAACUGACAAAGGAUUAAUCUCCAAAACAUAUAAAUAGCUCAAAUGGUUCAAUAUCAGAAAAACAAACAUCCCAAUUUAAAAAUGGGCAGAAGACCUAAACAGAUAUUUCUCCAAAGAAGACAUAUAGAUGGCCAAUAAGCAGAUAAAAAGAUGCUCAAUAUCACUAAUUAUUAGAGAAAUGCAAAUCAAAACUACAAUGAGGUAUCACCUCACACCAGUCAGAAUGGCCAUCAUCACAAAAUUUACAAACAAUAAAUGCUGAAGAGGAUGUGGAGAAAAGAGAACUCUCUUGCACUGUUGAUAGGAAUGUAAAUUGAUACAGCAACUAUGGAGAACAGUAUGGAGAUCCCUUAAAAAACUAGUUAUAAAACUACAACAUGACCCAGAAAUCCCACUACUGGGCGUAUACCCUGAGAAAACUAUAAUUGAAAAAGACACAUGGACCCCCAAUGUUCAUAGCAGCACUAUUUACGAUAGCUAGGACAUGGCAGCAACCUAGAUGUCCAUCAACAGAUGAAUGGAUAUAGAUGUGUGGAACAUAUAUGCUGUUGCUCAGCAGCAGUAAUACAUUAGCAUAAGCUACGGAGAAGGCAAUGGCAUCCCACUCCAGUACUCUUGCCUGGAAAAUCCCAUGGACCGAGGAGCCUGGUAGGCUGCAGUUCAUGAGGUCACUAAGAGUCGGACACGACUGAGCGACUUCACUUUCACUUUUCACUUUCAUGCAUUGGAGAAGGAAAUGGCAACCCACUCCAGUGUUCUUGCCUGGAGAAUCCCAGGGACGGGGGAGCCUGGUGGGCUGCCGUCUAUGGGGUCGCACAGAGUCGGACACAGCUGAAGCGACUUAGCAGCAGCAGCAGCAGCAUAAGCUAAGUGACAUACCCACCAUGAUGGGCUUCCUAUGUGGUGCUAGUGGUAAAGAACCCUCCUGUCAACACAGAAGACAUAAGAGAUGCAGGGAAUCUUCCCAACCCAGGUCUCCUGCAUUGUAGGCGGAUUCUUUACUGUCUGAGCCACCAGGGAAGCCCCCAUAAAAAUUAACCAUGCCAUAUUUCAGGGCCACUCUUGCCUUCUGAGAUGGCCUACACUCAGUUUGUAUAGCGUGUCUGUCUCUAAAUAAAUCCACUUCUUACCUAUCACUUUGUCUCUCACCGAAUUCUUUUUGCAAUGAGACACCAAGAACCUGAGCUUCAUUAAGUCCUGAGACCUGG
ensembl:lncRNA